AUACGGAGGAUCCGAGCGUUAUCCGGAUUUAUUGGGUUUAAAGGGAGCGUAGGUGGAUUGUUAAGUCAGUUGUGAAAGUUUGCGGCUCAACCGUAAAAUUGCAGUUGAAACUGGCAGUCUUGAGUACAGUAGAGGUGGGCGGAAUUCGUGGUGUAGCGGUGAAAUGCUUAGAUAUCACGAAGAACUCCGAUUGCGAAGGCAGCUCACUAGACUGAUACUGACACUGAGGCUCGAAAGUGUGGGUAUCAAACAGGAUUAGAUACCCUGGUAGUCCACAAAUUAAACGAUGAAUACUCGCUGUUUGCGAUAUACAGUAAGCGGCCAAGCGAAAGCAUUAAGUAUUCCAUCUGGGGAGUACGCCGGCGACGGUGAAACUCAAAGGAAUUGACGGGG
rnacentral:rRNA from 1 species